rnacentral:lncRNA from 1 species
ACUGUCUAUUCUGCAUCUAACUUUCAAAAUACUCUUUUCCUUUUGCAGUGAAUGACUCUCUGCCGCAUCUCCUUUGCUGUGUGUCUUUUGUUUAAAUUCUUUUAAACUAAGAAGACAAGAACCGAGGUAUCACAACAGCCAUUAACAGAAGUAUUGGGUGUUGCAAUUGGAAUCCUAAUAACCAACAGUGAGAGUUGGCCUACGCCCUUCACAGAGGGCAGUGGAUACAGAAGUUAGCCUGGUGAAGCAAGGGGGGCACAAUGAAGGAAAAGUGUCCUCAGCCCAGGGAUCUCCUGUUUCAGGGCUGGAUACGAGAAAGGAGGCCAGUGUGGUACACUGAAGAGACUUAAAUAACUAAGUAAAGCAAGUAUGUGGGGUUGGAGGCGGAGGAAUGUCAGGAAUGAGAUGGAGGCAGGGGCCGCAUAGUGAGUAGUGCUUUAAAAUUCAUGUUAGGGAGUUUGGUUUUUAUCCAAAGGGCAAUGAGAAGAAAAACAAAAACAAAAACAAAGAUUUUAAGCAGGCGCCACAGGAUCAGGCUUGCAUUUGAAAAUGCUCUCCAGCUCUUGCCCUGUCAAGAAUGGAUUAGAGGGAAACAAUACUGGGUGCAAGGAGAAUGUCAAGAAAACAGCAAAGUUCGUCUUAUUGAGGCAUCCAGUAAAGCUCCACAGAGAAAUCAUUCCCUCGUGUCUCUUCUGCACUCGGCCUUGGCAGGAUAAGAUGAAGAGGACGCAGUCCCUACCUCAGGUGCUAUAUCCUGAGGUUACUCAGGAGGGAACAGGAGAGCUACAAAUCCAGACACGUGUUCUCCAGCUCCUCUAAGUUGAAUUUAUCAAGGAGACAAAACAGGACCCAGGAUCACUACCUGCAACUCCCUUAAUUGUAACCUACUUUCCGAUAAAAAUUACAUGCUUUUGAAACCAGCAAUAAUAAACUGAAAUGCACGAACAGUCAACACAAUGACAAAAUGUACUCUGCAGCGAUUGAGGAGACAUUGUUACAUCUUUUAAAAUCAAUCUGUGAUCUGCCUCUACAGGAGAUGAAUGAAAGUGCAUAGAAGACAAAAGAAUGUGAUAAUAACAGAGAUAAUACUCAGCCCCAGUACAUCCAAUCUUUUGUUGGGUCAAUAACCAUUUGAAAAGGAACUAUGGAUUUUGUGCCUAAUAGAAAUGAGAGGACAGCUCCAAGAUAAUUUGAAUAUUUCUUUCCCUUUUUUCCUUUUCCUUCCUAUGCUGGAAAUAAAAAGGUUGAUGUCAACAUAUUUCUUAGAACAUAGAGUUCCUUAAAACCGAACAUGUCUGGGAUGACCAAAUCCCUUCCCAAUCCCACAGGUUUCUCUUUGAUAGACCUACAGUGAAAACUAGCAGCAUCCUGACUUCCCAGGGGCCGCUGUGGCAGCACCUUCCUGGCAACAGAACAUACAAUGAACACACUAAUGUGGUAAUGAACUGACAUCCAGAGAACAGACCAGAAAUUGCUGGAGGCAGGAAGCGGGGAAUUUGAGGUGGCAAAAAAGAAGAGCAUCCUUCACACAAACCUGCUAUCUCUAUUCUUUGUGCAAUUAAUCAUUUUAGAAACUAGCAAAAGACAAUGAUGCAUAAUUGGCCGAUUGAGG